GAUGAACGCUGGCGGCGUGCCUAAUACAUGCAAGUCGAGCGAACAGAUAAGGAGCUGUCUCCUUUGACGUUAUCGGCGGACGGGUGAGUAACACGUGGUUAACCUACCUAUAAGACUGGGAUAACUUCGGGAAACCGGAGCUAAUACCGGAUAACAUUUGGACCCGCAUUGUUCUAAAGUUAAAGAUGGUUUUUCUUUCACUUAUAGAUGAACCCGCACCGUAUUAGCUAGUUGGUAAGGUAACGGCUUAACAACGCGACGAUACGUAGCCGACCUGAGAGGGUGAUUGGCUACCUGGGAAGUGAGAAAGGGUAGAGACUCCUACGGGAGGACGCAGUAGGGAAUCUUACGGAAUGCGCGAAAGCGUGACGGAGCACAGCCGCGUGAGUGAUGAAGGGUUUAGGCUCGUAAAACGCUGUUAUUAGGGAAGAACAAAUGUGUAAGUAACUGUGAACGUAUUGACGGUACCUAAUCAGAAAGCCACGGCUAACUACGUG
rnacentral:rRNA from 1 species